rnacentral:rRNA from 1 species
UGGCGGCGUGCUUAGACAUGCAGUCGUACGAGAAAGUCUCUUCGGAGAUGAGUAAAGUGGCGCACGGGUGAGUAACGCGUGGGUAAUCUGCCCUUAGGUUUGGGAUAACCCCGGGAAACCGGAGCUAAUACCGAAUGAGACCACGAUGACUUCGGUCGACGUGGGAAAAGGUGGCCUCUUCUUGAAAGCUAUCGCCGAAGGAUGAGCCCGCGUUUGAUUAGCUAGUUGGUGAGGUAAUGGCUCACCAAGGCGACGAUCAAUAGCUGGUCUGAGAGGAUGAUCAGCCACACUGGAACUGAGACACGGUCCAGACUCCUACGGGAGGCAGCAGUCAGGAAUAUUGGGCAAUGGGCGAAAGCCUGACCCAGCAACGCCGCGUGAAGGAUGAAGGCCUUCGGGUCGUAAACUUCUGUCGAGAGGGAAUAAUGUGUGCGGGUGAAUUAUCCGCGCAUUUGACCCUACCUCCAAAGGAAGCACCGGUUCACUCCGUGCCA